rnacentral:rRNA from 1 species
UACGUAGGUUGCGAGCGUUAAUCGGAAUUACUGGGCGUAAAGCGUGCGCAGGCGGCUCUUCAGGUCAGAUGUGAAAGCCCCGGGCUUAACCUGGGAAUGGCGUUUGAAACUGGAGGGCUGGAGUGUGGCAGAGGGAGGUGGAAUUCCACGUGUAGCAGUGAAAUGCGUAGAGAUGUGGAGGAACACAGAUGGCGAAGGCAGCCUCCUGGGCCAACACUGACGCUCAUGCACGAAAGCGUGGGGAGCAAACAGG